UCCACCAGGCGGCUGCUCUGCUGCGCAACCCGCUUACACGACGCCAAUAAGCCUUCUGGUUGCAGCUAAAGCAAAGCAGCAGCGCGUCACUCAAUCAUACCGCUGCACCUCGACGCGGGCAGGUGCCGUAUGUUCGAGCCCCUCUUGUGCUUCCACACCGAAGCGGCCACACCGUUCUUCCACAUGCACGGCGCGUGAAAGCUCCUCACUGGCCGCUUUCCACGCAGCGCGUCGUCUCAAGGACAAGCGGAGCCGGGAUGAGGCUCCUGCGGGGCGGCGGGGAGGCUGCGGGGCGCGGGCGGGUUUCUGCAGCCGGAUGGGAAUCGAACCCCCGGACAGCAGAGGUGUGAGGCUGCAGCUUCACGGGGAACAACCCGCCUCGACCCGGACUCACGGUGACAUUCACACCGGGAGCUGCUGCUGCUGGAACCUGGAGGCUCGACCGACAUUUUGCUGGAUGUUUGAUUCCCAGCAGCUCGGUGGUGUUUGGUUUGAACCCGUGACGCACACAUGUGAUUAUAAAUAUAUAUAAAGUGUAUAAAUAUGUGCAUCUUACCCGGGUCGUCAUCUUCGCGGUUGCGGUGGGUCCGGGCUGCAGCGCGGGUCGGUGGGUCUCAGGACAGCGGGGACAGGGAGCUGAUGAGCCAGGCAGCAGAUGGGCUUUAUAGGCAGCAGCGCACCUCGCUCUGAUUGGCUGAGCGAGGCGGAAGCGUGCCGACGGUGGAAGGCUCGUGCGCGAGGAUGUGUCGCGUCACUCCUCCUCACGUGGGAGAUUUGACAGAGGUGGGAAAACAUGUGGCGUGCGUGAGAGGCCGACACGCACACUGGUGACUGUGUGUGUGUGUGUGUGUGUGUACGCAAUAUAAACAGACUAAUGGCUUCUACACAGCAAAAUGCAAAGUGUUGUGUUGUCAGUGUUCGACUCCGGAGUUUAAACAUUGAUCAACUCUCAUCAGGUGGAGUUCAACCACAAGGUGGUUACUGCCCUAAAGGAGGAGGGGGGGGGUCAAAGGUCAGAUUCCCAGAUCAACUCUACACUGUUGAUUUCACUUGUGUAGUUUCCUGUGAGAUACGGUGAAAGUCAGAAGUUAGAGUGGCUGAGACUGAAGAAGGCGAUGAAGACUUCAAUACAUCAGAAAGGUUUGGAGCCAGGACCUUCCUGCUUGGUGAACAGAAGAACAUCCAGCGGUUCUAUGUCAUUGUCGACCACAAGGCCCAGACAUCCCUGUCCUUCGAUGAGCUCUUCAGAGCAGACUUCAUCUUCAGUGUUAACUACCAUGAAUCCCUCAACAGCUUCUACACGUUCAUCCAAACCACGGUGUCCAACAGAGACGUGGGAAGAGCCAGGGGAUGUCCCAGAGUCCCAGAGCUCAGAGCAAGGUUCCUGCUCGCUGACAUUUGAAGUGACCCACGUCGUUGGAUUUAAAAAUGCUCAUUUGCUUUAUUUGUAAGGGACACCACAAACGUUAUAGGAAUGUUUGUUUUGAUUAGAACCGAUACAGAAAUUCCUGUUUUUGGAAAGAUCAACAAUAUCAUUAUCAAUGAAGAUCAAGCUUCGUUUUGGACACUUUAUUUUGACGACCACUUUAAUGCAUAUUGUGUCGAGGAGAGAACUGAUCCAUUUCCUGUAAUUUCUUUGGAGGAUUUAAUCUAUUACAGACCUUAUGACAAACAGUUUUCUAAUGAGAUGGAUGAAAACACAUACAUAUUGCCACAUUGUGUGAACUUUGCUUUUGAGGACUGUUAGAAAAAGAUGUAAAGCCAAUGCUGUGUUAUGUUGUGUGCUUACACAAAUACAGUUUCAUGUUAACUGCAAACUUC